rnacentral:rRNA from 1 species
UGGGGGAGCAAACAGGAUUAGAUACCCUGGUAGUCGCUGUAAACGAUGUCGAUUUGGAGUUUGUUGCCUAGAGUGAUGGGCUCCGAAGCUAACGCGAUAAAUCGACCGCUGGGGAGUACGGCCGCAAGGUUAAAACUCAAAUGAAUUGACGGGGGCCCGCACAAGCGGUGGAGCAUGUGGUUUAAUUCGAUGCAACGCGAAGAACCUUACCUGGUCUUGACAUCCAUAGAAUUCUGCAGAGAUGUGGGAGUGCCUUCGGGAACUAUGAGACAGGUGCUGCAUGGCUGUCGUCAGCUCGUGUUGUGAAAUGUUGGGUUAAGUCCCGCAACGAGCGCAACCCUUAUUCUUUGUUGCCAGCGAUUUGGUCGGGAACUCAAAGGAGACUGCCGUUGAUAAAGCGGAGGAAGGUGGGGACGACGUCAAGUCAUCAUGGCCCUUACGACCAGGGCUACACACGUGCUACAAUGGCGUACACAAAGGGAAGCGAAGGUGCGAGCUGGAGCGGAUCUCAUAAAGUACGUCUAAGUUCGGAUUGGAGUCUGCAACUCGACUCCAUGAAGUCGGAAUCGCUAGUAAUCGUAGAUCAGAAUGCUACGGUGAAUACGUUCCCGGGCCUUGUACACACCGCCCGUCACACCAUGGGAGUGGGUUGCACCAGAAGUAGAUAGCUUAACCGCGAGGGGGGCGUUUACCACGGUGUGAUUCAUGACUGGGGUGAAGUCGUAACAAGGUAACCA